GUUCUCACUUCAGCAGCACAUAUACUAAAAUUGGAAUGAUACAAAGGUUAGCAUGGCCGCUGCACAAGGAUGACUCUCAAAUUUGUGAAGCAUUCAUAUUUAAA